CUGCAGUUGAACCGAGUAGCUCGUGAGCUACUCGGAUUCGACUAGUGACGAGCUCGGGCUCGACUCGUCGGAGAACGAGUAGUUCUCGAGUUCGAGCUCAACGUCAAGCUUGUGAAAACUGUCGAGCUUUUCAUGCUCAACUCAAACUGUUCGCGAGCUGUUCGACCAACUGGAGACGUCAUUCGAGCAGGAGAUUGAGUUGUGUUAAUAUUUGCCCUAAAAUCUGAAAUCAAGUCAUUCAUUCGGCCGAAAACAGACAUUCAACUAUUCACCUCCAAAACAUAGCGCAAGAUCUGAGACCACCAUUGUCCAGCCUUCAUCCAGCCUUCAUUCAACUACUACCGACCAGCGACUAGCUUCAGCUACUAUCGUCCACCAUCGUCUUCCCUUCUUCACUUCCCUGCUGCCACAAGGUACAUUUUCCUGCUUCUUGACACCCAAAGUUGUCUCUCGCCGUCUAUCUGAUACUCAGACGAAUUUAUUCUAGCUGGAGAACUUCAAGAAACAAGCAAGAGGGCAAUCAUUGAGAGAAUGGGGGAACUGGAGAAGCUAGAGUGAAGAAUUAAUUAUUAGUAAAUGUUGUCUGGAUUGCACUUUGGUUUAUAUUUUUUAUUUUUUUCCCAAGUUGAUGGUGCUAUUAUAUGAUUUGUUUACCCAUUUUUGCACA